rnacentral:lncRNA from 1 species
CAAUACUUGAAUAGAUACCAAUACAACUAUAACCAUUAGCUCAUAAUACACACUUAUUCAAUCAGCUUUCCUUUUCCUUUGUUCGUGCAUGAGCCUUCAGAUUGCUCAUACAUAACUGAAAACAUUUAAUUUAAGCAAGGAUGAGCAUUUAAGUGCCCAGCAAGUAAUAGCAAUUAUAUAUAAGCUGAAAGAAUAUAAGUAUUCUCUUUACAUAACUCUUCUACAACGAAUUGAAAGUUGUGAAGUAAUCUGUACUGAUAAAAAAUUCACAUAACAACUCUCUUUCAAAUUCUUUAAAUUUGGCUCUGGCUCUACCCUUGAAUAGGGUUUAAGAAACAUACUAUGAACAUUCUUUUCAUUUUCGAAAAGGUUUAGCGGAAUUCUAUCCUCAAACCGUCAUAACUUACGGGCACGGAGGGUGAUCAGCCCCGUUGUACCCUGUAUUGAUCAAUACUACAUAACUUGAACGAAAUUCAUCGCUCACUCUAUCCGCCUUGCGCAAAAAUCUUCCCAUAUAGGGAUGUUCAUACAUGCCUGGUUCCAAACCCGAAGGUUUUUAAUCUUGCUCAACAAUAAUAUGUAAUUCAACAUAUAUAUACGGGUAAUUGACAAAGGUGUAUCAACAUGUGAACAAAUGCCAUGAUUAUCCAAGUGGGGACACUUGUAUAACCAUUUAUAGAAAUCAAUGAACAGAAUAUAUAUCUGAGCUAACAUGUUGAUAAACAAAGAGUACAUAAUCUGUACAGGGAUAGAAUAAUUCUGAAACUUCUUACUCAUGUCCAUUGCAUAAAGGAAGUGCAAAGGUAGGAUACUUGCCUGAUUCGCUGAUUACAAAUCUCAACUUAAGUUUUAUCUCUUUAUCACAACCUAUCAAUAAAUAGAUCAUUCGUUCGAUUAGAACAAUAUAUCUUAACACAUAGUACUGUCUAUUACAGUCAGCACAUAGUCUAAUCACCUAAUCAAAGUGAUCAUACUUUUAGUUCCUAUUCUAUACUUGAAAUAUUUUUAUACAUUUUUCAAAUAUCUCAUCCAUGCUCUUACAGUAGUCUUUUCUUUCUUUUAUAAGGUCUGACAUUUGUCGGCGUACCGACAGCUUUAUCGGGUAAAUACUGAGUCUAAGACUCUUAUUCUAUACCUCAACAUCUGUAAAUAUCAGACAUCUUAUUUUUAAUCAUUUUCGCAAUUUCCAGAAAUUGAAAAAUUUAAAAUAAUUCAAAUCUGUCACUAAAGGGCCUAUAGUGAUAUAACUGUUACUAUAGGUGUUCUUCUUCAAAUUCAGAACUUCAUAAUCGGUUCUCAAGUCAGCUAGUUUGGCCGGCUAUAACUUUCAAAUAUCGGAAUCAUAAUUAAAUGAUUUAAACAUUAAACAAUUCCAUUAUCAUUAAUAGUUUAAUUAAUACUAAACUAUUAAUGAAACCAUUGCCAAAAUAUAAAAGUUAUUUAUAAUAACUCAAACUAUUUUUAAAACAUUUAUAUUACCCAAAUAAUUACCAUUAAUAUUUAAAUAUUAAUGUACUAUUUAUCCAAAUAUUAAAAGUCAUUAAUUAUAACUUAAAAUAUUUUUAAAUCCUUAAUAUCCUCUUUAAAUGGUUUUUAAAUAAGUAAAACCAUUUUUAAACUAUUUAUUUAAUAUUAAUCAUUAAAUAAACUAAAUAUCAUUAAUAUUAUCUUAAUAUCAUUAAUAUUUAAUUAUUAAUGAAAUUAUCAUUUAAAUAUUAAAAGUUAUAUUUUAUAACUUAAAAUAUUUUUAAAUACCUUAUUUUCAUUUAAAAUGAUUUUUAUAAUAUUAAAAUCAUUUUUAAACUAAAUUAUUUAAUAUAAUCAUUAAAUAACUUUAAUAUCAUUAAUAAUUAUUAAUUAAUGAAAUUCAUCACAAAAUAUUAAAAGUCAUCACAAAUAACUCAUUUACAUAAUCAAUUCCAAGCCAAAAUAAACAUAGUAAACUAACUAGUUUAUUAACAACACUAACUAAACUUCAAAAAUUCAAACUUUAACUAACAAUUAAAAAUAAUAACAUUACAAAAAUUAAAUAAGAAACAUACCCGGAAAUACGAAUUCCACAGACUGAAUACGCACUUCCACGCCAAAAUUUAACUAAGGAGAUCUUUAUAAAAAGUUCUCCCACAACAAAGCCUUUCUCAAAAAUU